rnacentral:lncRNA from 1 species
AAUUGAAUAUAAUUGAAAGAGAUACAACUUUGAAGAAGGAGCCAAAGUCAUUUGAAGCUCAUAGCAAAAGUUAUUCAAGGUGGAAAAAGGGGUCAUUUGACUUUUAACUUAGAAAAGUUUCAAGUAUGUUUGAUUCCUCUAACUUCAAUGCCAGAAUUCAUCAUGAUCCAAGCUUCAAAUGGAAAACGUCCCAACAUUGAAGUUGUUCCCUGUGAUGGUAGCUUUCCAGAGUCCAAUAUCAUUCAAUUUGGA